GAUAAAUAUAUAUCAUGUAUUAAAUAAAUAAAAAAAAAUAAAAUAUGUGUUGAAAUGAACAACAAAUUGUCAGUAGUAUAGUAAUUUGAUUGUGACCCUACGAUUUAGUGGGUCUGAUCCUUGUGAAUUGCUUGAUAAAUUUAGUGGGUUCUUUUUAGCCGGGCUAAAAGGGACAAAAGUCGUUGGAACAUAUAUUCUUGUGGCUUUGUAAAGCAUCUAGAGAAUGACAGUGGGAUUGUCAGUCUUACAAAUUCUCGAAGGGUGUAAUAAACUUCCUGCAAGACACACUACAAGGAUACCAGGGGUUCCUACACGGUAAGAAAUGUAUGGUGUUCAACACCAUGACGGUAUGGUCUCAAGACAGAUACUAAAAUAGUAUGUGAAAUAUUCCAAGACAGUAUUAUAACGAGUCCCAGAAGUAUGGCGUUAUUUAUUAUACUGUAUAGUACUGGAGCUAUUGUAUUGCUCAAACGUAUGCAUAGCAGGCACGGCGAAACAGCAUGUCCCUCAGACCCAUACUACAAUGCCGAAGGCGCAAUGCUACUAAUUUUUCCCGCCAUAAUUUUUGGCGUACACGCGGAUAAUUCGUCCCAUAAAUACUUCAAGCUCGGAAUAUAAAAACUCCGAAAUAAGUAUCUUACCAGGGACACCACAAAUGUUGGGCGCGAUCUACUGGCGAGCAACGAACUACUCCAGCUGCUGCUGUCUAACACCA